UCUCACUUUACCUUUCAAACCUAGCAGUUUCUUCAUCCUUCAAACCCCUAGCAGUUUCUUCAUUGCCGUCAUCUCUUUGCAAAUCCAUUCAACAUCUCGUCGGUGAAUGUUUUGAAUCGAAGGUGAAGUCGAAGAUUUGAAGACUUUUGCGAAAAAGUUUAUCAGAUGCUCUUGGUUUAUCGAAUCUCAGAAUGCUUCAUAUCUCGCACAUCUCAUGUACAACGAAACUUAGUGAAGGUCAUGGAUGUCUUGAUGUCACUGCAACAAUCUCAACUGGAUGCUGAUGAUCCAACUACAAGCUACCUGUUAUAAGUAUAAUCCUUUUUUCCUUCCAUGCCCUGUCUGUUCAGUGCAGUUGAAAUUGGCUUAUGCUGAAGCUUCAUCUAAAUUAAACUAUAAUUUGACAGAGGCACUUUUGUUUUGUUGCAUUUUGUCGGGGAUGUACAUCUGAUCUCAAUGCUUCUCAAGUUUCAAACGCCACAGUUGCUACUUCACGUCGAUACCGCCCGUAAAGCUUCCGGACCAAUAUGUAAUUUAGAAUGGUUUAUAACAUUAAUACAAACCAGUUAUAAUGAAUGCUUAUAUUAUUUGCUCACUCCUUGGAAAUUUUAUGCAUUGGUUUGUAUCUAUCUCAAUCUGUAUAUAUUAUUUAAGGAAUGGGAUCCCAAUACGAUUCGAGAUAUUUGCUUCUUACUUUAUAGAAUAGGUGUCAUAUUUUCCAUAUUUGAUUCAUUAUAGAUUCAAAAUGUUAUAUGAAAGCGCAUAAACACGUCAAUGCUAUUUGUAGGUGAGUCACAUCUCCGUGUUGUCGCCCAAUCGUAUGGGCUUGAAUGACAGGGAUAUUUGUGAUUGCGGAAUUAUGCUGGCAGGAUGCUGUGACGAGUGUGUUGUUACUGUAUAUAGUUCGAGUGGCGAGACGAAUGCUCUUGAUGAUGGUGGUAAGAAUGUGUCUCAUGCGGAAGAUGCUUUGUUUAAGAUUCAUGAUAGAGUGGUUGCUGAGGAAUUACACAGUGAUCAGGAGGAAGAAUGCGGUCCUCAAGUGACUGCUAGGCUGUUAGUGCCGGCUGAUCAGAUAGGAUGUGUUCUUGGAAAAAGCGGGCAGAUUGUUCAGACCAUGCGCAGUGAAACUGAGGCUCAUAUUCGUAUACUUAAGGAUGACCAUAUGCCUCUAUGUGCCUUGCGCUCUGAUGAGCUUGUGCAGUUCUUUGAAGAAAAUUUCUCUCAAACAAUAGAAGCUUCCAAGGGCGGAGAACUUAUACCAUAUCUAACAUUGCUUAUUAAUAACUUUUAUUUUACAACAGCUUUUCUAUGUUAUGUUAAUGUAUAGAAAAUACCAAGACUUAUUUAUUCUUUAUAAUAAUAUUU